rnacentral:lncRNA from 10 species
UGCCGCCGCCGCCGCCAAGAAGCUGCCGCCUGGCGCGCUCGGAAGGACGGGGCGGCGGGUCGGCGCGGCCAGAGCGCCGGGCGGGGGCGUGAGGGGCGGGGAAGGGGAGCUGGGGGCGGGCACUGCGGAGCCACCACCCGGCGGGCGCGGGAGUCGCAGGAGCAGUGGCCGCAGGGUGCCCGGUCGCCGCCCCCUCCGCCCGCAGUUCCCGAGGCCUGAGCCUCCGCGAGCCGGGAUAGGACCGAGUGGCGGGGCUCGGAGCCGCCUCGGCAGGAGCGGCCCUUCCCUCCCUGCAGGGACUCCAGUCCUCGCGGGUCCCGCUGCCCCGACUGCGGACGGAGUGGAUGGGGCGCACCUCCUCACACCCGCUUCCUGGGGUCGCGAACUUCCCGGGCCCCACGGUCCCUGCCACCUCUUCCAAAUGCUCGAGGACUACGCACUUCUACAAGUUAGAAAAUACCCAGAAAAAAAUGUGAAUAAAUCAGAGGAGAAAUGGACAUUACCCAGAUGUCAGGCUUGAAGCUUCAUAAAGUAACUGAAGAGAAUUUGGAAAACAAGGUUCUUCUUGGAAUCUUCCUAAUGUUUCAGGCCUAAUGUUUCAUUCACCUCAUGGUCAGUAUCAAUUUCUCCUCUGACAAAUCAUAUGUGAUUAAAAAUACAAACAUCUGUUGCGAGGUCUUUAGUUUUGUAGCAGACUUAACUGUUCUUAUACUACAAUGUUUUAAUUAUUAUAACUUUACAAAUAUGUUUUAGUAUCAGUAAAGCAAGUUCCUUUUCCUUACUCUUCUUUCAUUUAUAUUUUUUCUUGUAAUGUUUGUUCAUGUAUUAUUACAGAAGCAACAUAAAAAUACUUUAAAAUUGUUUUAAAUUCUGUUAAUAUACGGUUUGUUUUGUUUUGUUUUGAUUUUUUUUUUUUUUUUUUUUUUUUUUUUAUGAAGAGUCUUGCUCUGUUACCCAAGCUAAAGUGCAGUGGCUCAAUCUCGGCUCACUGAAACCUCCACCUCCCAGAUUCAAGCGAUUCUCCUCCUCAGUCUCCCAAGUAGCUAGGAGGUGCAACCAUGUCCAGCUAAUUUUUGUAUUGUUUUUAGUAAAGAUGGGGUUUCACCAUGUUGGCAGGCUGGUCUCAAACUCCUAACCUUAGGUGGUUCACCCACCUCAGCCUAUACUUUAGUAUUUAAAUUACAAACUACAACUGUAAUUCACAGAAGAGGGAGGGCAUAUUUAAUUUAUUUUGGAAUUCAAUUAAAAUUUAUAGGCAUAAUAU